GGAAACUAUAGUCUCCUCUCAAGAAGGAGACAUAAUAAUUGCAAUAAUGAUCACUUGUAGAGUUUUAUUAUGGAGUCAGGCUCUCUCACAGGUAUCAGCUAGCUGGAUCAUCCUAAUGAUUCGCAGUAGCAGAGACAACUUUCCUGGGAGCCUGAGGUUCAGAGAUACAAAAUGAUCCAAAGGUUAAUUAAUUAAUUAAUUAAUUAAUUUAUUAUUUUUCAAAUGGUAAGACUGUCAAAGAUUUAUCUAACUAGGAUUUGUCCUCAAUCCUGAUGUAGGCUUUUUUUUUUUUUUUUUUUUUUUUACAGUGAUACCUAUGAGAAUGGGUGAUGAAAAGCCAGGUUUACCAAACACCUCUUUUCUCCACAGGAGGAGGCUUCUGUGAUCCAGUUACCCUGGAACUACACCCAGGAAGAGACACAGGCCAAAUAUCUAGGCCAGAUGGUAGGAGCCAACACAUUGGCAGAGUGAGCUACCUUCAUAUUCAAGCCUGUCAUUUCAAGACCUUUCAGAAAUGAAACCAAGAAUGAAAGGACAGAAUAAAGAAACAGUGAG